UGCUCCAUACGACGCGAUGCAGAAGA
rnacentral:sRNA from 1 species